GACGAACGCUGGCGGCGUGUCUAAUACAUGCAAGUCGAGCGGACGGAUGGGAGCUUGCUCCCAGACCGUCAGCGGCGGACGGGUGAGUAACACGUGGGCAACCUGCCUGUAAGACUGGGAUAACUCCGGGAAACCGGGGCUAAUACCGGAUAACUCUUUCCCUCACAUGAGGGAAAGCUGAAAGAUGGCAUCUCGCUAUCACUUACAGAUGGGCCCGCGGCGCAUUAGCUAGUUGGUGAGGUAACGGCUCACCAAGGCGACGAUGCGUAGCCGACCUGAGAGGGUGAUCGGCCACACUGGGACUGAGACACGGCCCAGACUCCUACGGGAGGCAGCAGUAGGGAAUCUUCCGCAAUGGACGAAAGUCUGACGGAGCAACGCCGCGUGAGUGAUGAAGGUUUUCGGAUCGUAAAACUCUGUUGUCAGGGAAGAACAAGUACCGGAGUAACUGCCGGUACCUUGACGGUACCUGACCAGAAAGCCACGGCUAACUACGUG
rnacentral:rRNA from 1 species